AUUGAACGCUGGCGGCAGGCCUAACACAUGCAAGUCGAACGAGUGGCGGACGGGUGAGUAAUGUCUGGGAAACUGCCUGAUGGAGGGGGAUAACUACUGGAAACGGUAGCUAAUACCGCAUACCAUCAGAUGUGCCCAGAUGGGAAUAGCUUGUUGGUGGGGUAACGGCUCACCAAGGCGGCGAUCCCUAGCUGGUCUGAGAGGAUGACCAGCCACACUGGAACUGAGACACGGUCAAGACUCCUACGUGAGGCAGCAGUGGGGAAGAGUGCAGAACGGGCGAAAGCCUGAUGCAGCCAUGUCGCGUGUAUGAAGAAGGCCUUGGGGUUGUAAAGUACUUUAAGCGGUGAGGCGUUACCCGCAGAAGAAUCACCGGCUAACUCCGUGCCAGCAGCCGCGGUAAUAC
rnacentral:rRNA from 1 species